GCAUGCCUACAUCAUAGUGUUAAUGCAUCAGAUCUCAUUAGAACUCUGUAGUUAAGCGUGUUCAGGCUAGAGUAGUAUUGGGAUGGGUGACCGCCUGGGAAGUACUAGCAUUUUACAUAUA
rnacentral:rRNA from 1 species